rnacentral:rRNA from 1 species
GACAGAGGGUGCAAACGUUGUUCGGAAUUACUGGGCGUAAAGCGCGUGUAGGCGGCUAUGUAAGUCGGGCGUGAAAUCCCACGGCUCAACCGUGGAAGUGCACCCGAAACUGCGUAGCUAGAGUCCUGGAGAGGAAGGUGGAAUGCUUGGUGUAGAGGUGAAAUUCGUAGAUAUCAUUUGGAACGCCAAUGGUGAAAACAGGUAGCUGGGAGUGUGCUGACACUGAGACACGAAAGCCAGGGGAGCGAACGGG